GCCCCGCCUGCGCCCUGAGAUCCCGCUCGCCGGCCGCUCCCCCGGGUGUCAGCAGAAGGAUGCGGCCCCUGGAGACCAAUGGGAGAGAGCAGGUGCCAAUGAGCCGCAGGAUGACUGAGCCGCCCAGAUUUUAAUGGACACUGCAACCCUAAGACCUCCAUGGAGAAGUUCCUGUGAAGAAUGCUGUGUUAGAUUCUGUGAUUCUCCUGUGGCAGCACUACCUGAUGUGAUAUUCAGGAUUUCUGCAUGACAGUGGAUGAAUAUGACAACAGACAGACUUCAUAAGAGCUGCAGACUUAAACCGUGGGCUCAAUAAGAAGCCAGUGGUAGGUUACAUCUCUCCAUGGCCAGACUGGAGGACUUGUUCACAGCUUUAAUUCUGUCAAGAGCUCAUGAUCUGUUUCCUUUCUCACCCAGAGCUUUCAAGUUCUUUUAACAAGCAGGUUUUUGCAGAAAGUUCUCUACUUGGGGGUUCUCUCUCCUACCAAG